AUUUCUCCAUACAUUCAUGAGGUUAAAGCUUCAGUAUUGUGUUUAAACUUCAAUGUUGACAACUUGACAUUCAAACAACAUACAACAUACGCCAAUCUACAUGUUGGAUCAAAGUACUGCAACCUGAUGUUCCUAAAGGUCGAGGAUUUCAGUAAACCAGAUGAGAUUUUGGGGGAAACAGUCCAAGAAAAAUGGGAUACCACACCUGAAAAUCGAUUUAUGGAUAAAGUUGC